UUUAAGCUCGCUAAACAAAUAAAGCUAUAAUAAACCAAUUCAAAAGACCCAAAUCCUAAAUAAAAUGGAUUCCUAGGCUACUGGGUAUGAUCCGAAAAUAAUCUACUGCAGCCAUCGAUGCCGACUUCACUUUAGACUUCGCCAUCUAUCUUCACCGGCCUUGAAAACGGUGGAUUUGCAAGACAGCUUGACAAUGACACGCAGGGGAAGAAUCGCCAUAGAUAUAGCAAGUGCUUAAGCACCUAAACAACCCAAAAAA
rnacentral:misc_RNA from 1 species